CUGCGCCAUGCGGGGCCCGAGCGCGGCUCCGCGGCUGCUCCUGGCCCUGCUCCUGGGCCUGCGCACCGG
rnacentral:miRNA from 1 species